UACGUAGGGGGCUAGCGUUGUCCGGAUUUAUUGGGCGUAAAGAGCGUGUAGGCGGCCAGGUAGGUCUGCUGUGAAAACUCGAGGCUCAACCUCGAGAUGUCGGCGGAAACCAUCUGGCUAGAGUCCGGAAGAAGAGAGUGGAAUUCCUGGUGUAGCGGUGAAAUGCGCAGAUAUCAGGAAGAACACCCGUGGCGAAGGCGGCUCUCUGGGACGGUACUGACGCUGAGACGCGAAAAGCGUGGGGAGCGAACAGG
rnacentral:rRNA from 1 species